GGACGUGGUGGAAUGGUAGACACAACAGACUUAAAAUCUGUUGGGCUUUAUGCCCGUGCGGGUUCGAGUCCCGCCUUCCGC
rnacentral:tRNA from 1 species